UUGGGUGCUACAUUCAAGCGAUCCUCAAUUGAAACGAGUCUGCUGGCCGACUAUACAACAUGAAUCACUAUGUAAUGGGACUAAAUUUACAUGGCACAAGAGAGGAGAUGGCCAGGCAAGGGUUGACAAAUGUCACAUUUGAUGACUAUGAUGGCGCCAUUGGAUUUGUUAAUAUACAAAACAUGCACUGGAAGUUUGUGUAUCUUCAUGCCCUCUCAAGCCGCAUUUUUGUGGUUGAUCCUCUGCAGGGACAAAUGAAGUUGAGGACUCCAGAAAGGUUGGCCACAGAUUUGGGUAAUAUCAAAUAGAUUAAUGGAAAUAGAUAGGUAACACACACAUUUGUUAAAGCCAUAGAGUAGACGCAAAGGUUAACCAAAAUAGAUUUUCCUUUCAUCCUGUAGACAAUAUUUCAAGAUGCGCCGGAACAGACUUGGAAAGCAGGACUGGGUUAACAUCAAGUGGAAACCUGGCAAGAUAACCCACACCUUUCAGAAAGACCCCACCAGUUGUGGGGUCUUUGUCAUGCAGAUGGCCAAGAUGACAGUGAUGGAGUUUCCAAAGAUGCCACAGUCGUUUCAGAUUAACUCAUCAAAACAGUCUCUUAAAAAACAAAGAAGACUCAUGGCAGAAGAAAUUCUCAGAGCAUCAGUUUCAAAGGAUGACUUCUGUUCCUUCUGUGGAAAUAAGGACCUGCCAAAACCUGCUGUAGAUGAUGUUUGGAUUCAGUGUGGAACUUGCACAAGAUGGUUUCACACGAAGUGCCUUGGAAUGGCAGCUGCACAAAUACCAAACAAAGAUACCCCUUGGGAUUAUGUGUUUUGUCACAGCCCUAGCUAAAGAGGCUGUAGGUGAGUUUGGGGUUUAGGUCUGGAUAACUAAAUUAUCCAAAAUGUCAACUACUGCAACAAUGGUAAUUGUACACAAACUGCAUAUAAAGAACAUUAAACCCACCCAGAAAAAGUAAACAAAAGCUAGAAAAUGUGUACUUAAUUUGUGUUUUUCCAUUAUUAUAUAAUACAGAUCAGAAAAUAUUUUCUAUGUGAAGAUUAACAUUAUGGAUGUGUUCAAUAUGAAUGUGUGAUAUUGAUAUUUAAGUUUGUUCUGCUACCUAUUUUUGUUUCAGUUUGCAUAAAAUUUUACGUAACAUUUUUACGUACUAAAUGUUCAGUCUCAAAUCAUAUUUUAAGGCACCAACAUCUACACUUUAAGUUUUUUUUGUAGUACAACCAGCUUCUCUAGAGUAUUUUGUCAGACAUUCUCUAUGUAAUUAUGACAUAUUUCUUGGAAUAAAAAAUACCCCAAAAUUAUGCAUGUCUAUUUUUGAAAAGUAAUCGUUAUAGUUCAAUAAUUAGGUGAGUAGUUACAGUGAGGUAAGUAUAAAAACACUUAUCUUUGUAAUUAUUAAAGUAUUUAAUAAUAUGUAUAUGUUUUUAGCAAUAAAUAUUCCAUAAAAUUAUGGAUGUGCUUAUUUUUGAAAAGUAAGUGAUGUAGUACAACCAACAGAAGACUAGUUAUGUGUGAUGCAAUUUCAGAGACACAACUGUAUUUAAAUAUAAAAAUAUUAAACAUUUUUGGCAAAAAAUAUAUUCCCCAAAAUUAGGAUUAUGCUUAUUUCUGAAGAGUAAAUGCUGUAGUACAACCAGUAGAAGACUAGUUAUGUGUGAGGCAAGUUUAGAGACACAACUGUAUUUAAAUAUAAAAAUAUUAAACGUUUUUGGCAAAAAAUAUUCCCCAAAAUUAGGAUUAUACGUAUUUUGAAAAGUAAGUGCUGUAGUACAACCAGUAGAAGAGUAUUUAUGUGUGAGGCAAGUUUAAAGACACAACUGUAUUUAAUUAUAAAACUAUUAAACGAUUUUGGCAAAAAAUAUUCACCAAAAAUAGGAUUAUGCUUAUUUUUGAAAAGUAAGGGCUGUAGUACAACCAACAUAAUACUAUUGAUGUGUGAGGAAAGUUUAAAGACACAACUGUAUUUAAUGAUUAAACUAUUAAACGUUUUUGGCAAAAAAUAUUCCCACAAAUUAGGAUUACACUUAUUUUUUUUAAGUAAGUGCUGUAGUACAACCAGUAGAAGAGUAUUUAUGUGUGAGGCAAGUUUAAAGACACAACUGUAUUUAAUGAUUAAACUAUUAAACAUUUUGUGCAAAAGAUAUUCCCAUAAAUUAUGAUUAUGCUUAUUUUUGAAAAGUAAGUGCUGUAGUACAACCAGCAGGAGACAAGUUAUAAUUGAGGUACGUUUGGAAAUGCUACCUUAUUUAAACAUUAAAUUAAAAAAUAUUUUUGUUGUAUCUCUUUUCGCUGUUGUAGUUUGUAGACGGUCCCUGAGCGCUCGUCUUACUGCCGGCUGCUCGUAGAGACCAAUGUUAUUUCUUCAGGUUGCAGGACGGCUCGUUUUGAUGAAAAUGACUUUGUAGCUCGUUCUUUACCUUACUACAGUACGAAAUAUGCGUUAUUUGUGAUUUAAUAACAUUUCGCUAUAGAGUUAUUGAUCCCGGAAGUUUGAAUCUGUGAAUGUCAUGCCAACU